rnacentral:rRNA from 1 species
GUCCUUUAGAUAUUAAUUUAAGGUCUAACCUGCCCACUGAAUUAUUUUAAAUGGCCGCAGUAAUUUGACUGUGCAAAGGUAGCAUAAUCAUUAGUUUUUUAAUUAAAAGCUUGUAUGAAAGGUUGGACGAAGUAAAAUCUGUCUCUAAUUAAAUUAAUUUAGAAUUUAACUUUUAAGUUAAAAGGCUUAAAUUUAACUAAAAGACGAGAAGACCCUAUAGAUCUUUAUAUCUUAAUUUAUAAAUUUAAUUAAGAAUUUUUAAAAUUUUAUUAAUUUAGUUAUUUUAUUGGGGUAAUAUAAAGAUUAAAAUAAUUCUUUUUUUUUAUUAACAUUAAUUUAUGAUUUUAAUGAUCCAAUUAUAUUGAUUUUAAGAUUAAGUUACCUUAGGGAUAACAGCGUAAUUUUUUUAGAGAGUUCUUAUCGAUAAAAAAGUUUGCGACCUCGAUGUUGGAUUAAAGAUUAUUUUAGGUGUAGAAGCUUAAAAAUUUUGGUCUGUUCGACCAUUAAAUCUUUACAUGAUCUGAGUUCAGACCGGUGUAAGCCAGGUCGGUUUCUAUCUUUAGUAAAUUAAAAUAUUUUAGUACGAAAGGACCAAUUAUUUAAUAUAAAUAUUUAAAUUUUGAUUAUUAUUAA